rnacentral:rRNA from 1 species
UACGUAGGGGGCUAGCGUUGUCCGGAAUCAUUGGGCGUAAAGCGCGUGUAGGCGGUUCGGUAAGUCCGCUGUGAAAGUCGGGGGGCUCAACCCUCGAAUGCCGGUGGAUACUGUCGGACUAGAGUACGGAAGAGGCGAGUGGAAUUCCUGGUGUAGCGGUGAAAUGCGCAGAUAUCAGGAGGAACACCAAUUGCGAAGGCAGCUCGCUGGGACGUUACUGACGCUGAGACGCGAAAGCGUGGGGGAGCAAAACAGG